CGCAAACACGUGGAUUUAGAGGAGCUCUACACUCCACCAUGGAAAAGUCAGAUUUCGCCUGGGACAAGAAUGAGUCUACAUAAUGAGGAAAUAAAGGCAAUUUUCAGUUUGGGGGCCAAGAAAAAGAAAAGAAAAAAGCCUCAGUUGAGGCAAUAACAGAAAGAAAGCAAAUAUCUCC